rnacentral:rRNA from 1 species
AUUGAACGCUGGCGGCAGGCUUAACACAUGCAAGUCGAGCGGGGGAAGGUAGCUUGCUACCGGACCUAGCGGCGGACGGGUGAGUAAUGCUUAGGAAUCUGCCUAUUAGUGGGGGACAACAUCUCGAAAGGGAUGCUAAUACCGCAUACGUCCUACGGGAGAAAGCAGGGGAUCUUCGGACCUUGCGCUAAUAGAUGAGCCUAAGUCAGAUUAGCGAGUUGGUGGGGUAAAGGCCUACCAAGGCGACGAUCUGUAGCGGGUCUGAGAGGAUGGUCCGCCACACUGGGACUGAGACACGGCCCAGACUCCUACGGGAGGCAGCAGUGGGGAAUAUUGGACAAUGGGGGGAACCCUGAUCCAGCCAUGCCGCGUGUGUGAAGAAGGCCUUAUGGUUGUAAAGCACUUUAAGCGAGGAGGAGGCUACUUUAGUUAAUACCUAGAGAUAGUGGACGUUACUCGCAGAAUAAGCACCGGCUAACUCUGUGCCAGCCGCCGCUGUAA